rnacentral:rRNA from 1 species
UACGAAGGGGGCUAGCGUUGCUCGGAAUCACUGGGCGUAAAGGGUGCGUAGGCGGGUCUUUAAGUCAGGGGUGAAAUCCUGGAGCUCAACUCCAGAACUGCCUUUGAUACUGAAGAUCUUGAGUUCGGGAGAGGUGAGUGGAACUGCGAGUGUAGAGGUGAAAUUCGUAGAUAUUCGCAAGAACACCAGUGGCGAAGGCGGCUCACUGGCCCGAUACUGACGCUGAGGCACGAAGCGUGGGAGCAAACAGG